AAGAGUGUCAAUAAGCUAGAAUAGGAAAGUAGAAUUUUUCAAUUGCACAGUGAAAGGUUUGAAAAGUGUAAUAUUUGUUUGAUGUUUUAGAUUACUAAAAAGUCAAACCAGGAUAAGAAAAAAAAAGUAUUUUGCAUAUUUCAAAUCAACACAAAAUUCAAAUUUAAUAUUUCAACAUGGGAAUCAGGAAGUGUCUGAGUAAUAAUUCAUCAACGAAAAACUGCAUUAAAAAUACAAAAAAAAACCUUAAAAACAAGCAUAACUUGAAUAUGUUAUCUAAUUCAAAAUUUAGAUGUUGAGUUGACAAAUUACCUUAUAAAUUUCAGAAAAAGAAGAAAUGAGGUCAGUAUAAAAAUUCUACUUAUCCUAGAGUUUUGACAGUCUUGAUCUUAAUAGGGGUUUUUCUGUAACUUCUUGCUGCUGCUAACAGCUUCACCAGUUUGGAGAUAUAUAAAUUGGAGCACAUCCUUAGACCUUACUGCUUAAAAUAAUCUUCCUUUCUUAGCUAAUAUCUUAUUACAAUAUAGAUGGAUUUAUUAUAUGUACAGCAUGCAUGACACAAUAGCAGAAUUUGCAAGAGUUUUGGGUUGUAAAAAUGCAACAGAAUACUCUUUACACAUUAAAUAAAACCUAAUUGCCAGAAUUUAUUUUGGUCUGGUUUCAAUUGACUUAUAGUGGAAGGGGUUGUACCUAUUUGUCUACAUAAGUCAUACCAGUCCACAUUUUUGAAACUUCACAAAAAGAUUGUGAACACAUUGAUGUUAUGUAACUGUCAAUGGGGAAUAGUUUUUAUCGUGUUGAGCAUCUGUUAUUAUGGAAUUGUUUAUUCAUUUUCCCGGAUAAAAAAAACUGUGCCAAGGUUAAGUGUUCAUUGUUUCUCAGUAAGUUUAUAUGAAAGCUAAAUAUUUUUGUAUAGGUUGAUUCUUAGAGUAUCAUUAAUACCUAUUUAAUGUUUAUUUACUUUUGUGGUCAUGAAAAUGCAAACCAUGUUUUUCAACUUAA
rnacentral:lncRNA from 1 species